ACUCAAAGGAAUUGACGGGGGCCCGCACAAGCAGCGGAGCGUGUGGUUUAAUUCGAUGCAACGCGCAGAACCUUACCUGGGCUUGACAUGCGCGAAGUAGAACCCGGAAACGGGAACGACUCGUCAAGGCGAGAGCGCGCACAGAUGCUGCAUGGCUGUCGUCAGCUCGUGCCGUGAGGUGUUGGGUUAAGUCCCGCAACGAGCGCAACCCUCGUCGCCAGUUACCUGUCUGGCGAGACCGCCGGGUACAACCCGGAGGAAGGUGGGGAUGACGUCAAGUCAGCACGGCUCUUACGUCCAGGGCUACACACACGCUACAAUGGUCGGGACAACGGGCAGCGAAGGGGCGACCCGGAGCGAAUCCCAGCAAACCCGACCUCAGUGAGGAUCGGAGGCUGCAACUCGCCUCCGUGAAUGCGGAGUUGCUAGUAACCGCGGGUCAGCACACCGCGGUGAAUACGUUCCCGGGCCUUGUACACACCGCCCGU
rnacentral:rRNA from 1 species